UUUCAUCCUUUUUUUAAUGAACAACACUGUUUUUGUUGAGCAUUAAUUUUUAAGCAGUUAAUUGUUUGGUACAAUUUUGAAGAGUAUUUCUUGAUUUUUAGGUAAUCCUGAAAGUGCAUCCAAGGCAGUUGAAAAGGAAGCAUCCUAAACUAUUGAAAAGAGGCCUAAAAGAAGACAACAAGAAAGUUACAAAAUGAAUUGUAUUUUUAUGAACAAGUGUGAUUCUGAAACACUUUGCUACAAAUAAGUUAUAAUCUGAUUACAAGUCAUGUUAAGAAAGCAUGAAAAUUUGACAGUAUUGGAAUGAA